rnacentral:rRNA from 1 species
AGCGCAGGCGGGAGAACAAGUUGGAAGUGAAAUCCAUGGGCUCAACCCAUGAACUGCUUUCAAAACUGUUUUUCUUGAGUAGUGCAGAGGUAGGCGGAAUUCCCGGUGUAGCGGUGGAAUGCGUAGAUAUCGGGAGGAACACCAGUGGCGAAGGCGGUCUACUGGGCACCAACUGACGCUGAGGCUCGAAAGUGUGGGUAGCAAACA